GACAGGAAGUCAGCAGCACCUAGAGGAGAGUGGACCUGUGUGAGAAGGGCAGCGGCAGCGGGACAUAAAAACCGACAGCAGAGAGACCCUUCAACCUGUUUCUACCUGUCAGAGCCAAAAUGUGAUGUCACAGGAAAACAGGCAAUCCCUUGGGAUUGGGAUGAAAUGCUUCCAUUCCGUUUUGAUAAGUUCUGAGAUGGCUGAUAAGUCCAUAGUGUGAUCUGCAGACUCUGCCACAUGUGGAGCAGGUGGUGCUGAAUGGAUGGAAGCUAUGAUGGAUUCUGCUUCCACCAUUGCUUCUGAGAAGAUAUUUGGCCAGCAAUUUCCAACCCUGCACUGACCAGUCUGUAGUUUCUGCACAACGUUAUUUCUUCUCCUUUCAUUCUUCUGGAAACUGCAACAUCUCUGCAAGAUUUUGAACACACAGCUAAUUAAAAUUCUACCAG